UAAGCGGAGGAAAAGAAACCAACAGGGAUUGCCCUAGUAACGGCGAGUGAAGCGGCAACAGCUCAAAUUUGAAAGCUGGCCUUCGGGUCCGCAUUGUAAUUUGUAGAGGAUGCUUUGGGUGAAACGCCAGUCUAAGUUCCUUGGAACAGGACGUCAUAGAGGGUGAGAAUCCCGUAUGUGACUGGAAAUGUUAACCUAUGUAAAGCUCCUUCGACGAGUCGAGUUGUUUGGGAAUGCAGCUCUAAAUGGGAGGUAAAUUUCUUCUAAAGCUAAAUAUUGGCGAGAGACCGAUAGCGCACAAGUAGAGUGAUCGAAAGAUGAAAAGCACUUUGGAAAGAGAGUUAAAAAGCACGUGAAAUUGUUGAAAGGGAAGCGCUUGCAAUCAGACUUGUUUAAACUGUUCGGCCGGUCUUCUGACCGGUUUACUCAGUUUGGACAGGCCAGCAUCAGUUUCGGCGGCCGGAUAAAGGCUCUGGGAAUGUGGCCUUCACUUCGGUGGAGGUGUUAUAGCCCAGGGUGUAAUACGGCCAGCCGGGACUGAGGUCCGCGCUCGGCUA
rnacentral:rRNA from 2 species